rnacentral:rRNA from 1 species
UGGGGAAUAUUGCACAAUGGGCGAAAGCCUGAUGCAGCGACGCCGCGUGAGGGAUGACGGCCUUCGGGUUGUAAACCUCUUUCAGCAGGGACGAAGCGAAAGUGACGGUACCUGCAGAAGAAGCACCGGCCAACUACGUGCCAGCAGCCGCGGUAAUACGUAGGGUGCAAGCGUUGUCCGGAAUUAUUGGGCGUAAAGAGCUCGUAGGCGGUCUGUCACGUCGGCUGUGAAAACCUGGGGCUCAACCCCGGGCCUGCAACCGAUACGGGCAGACUAGAAUUCGGUAGGGGAGACUGGAAUUCCUGGUGUAGCGGUGAAAUGCGCAGAUAUCAGGAGGAACACCGGUGGCGAAGGCGGGUCUCGUGGGCCGAUAUUGACGCUGAGGAGCGAAAGCGUGGGGAGCGAACAGGAUUAGAUACCC